CUCUUAUUGAAUGAUGACGGUCACUUGUCAUGUUCUGAUUAGAUGUCAACUCCAUGAAAGAUGAAAUGCAUUGUUGUUUUCAUUGACCAAUCAGAACAUGACACGUGAGUCAUCAUCC
rfam:Glycine soja cultivar W05 scaffold4579_16, whole genome shotgun sequence.